ensembl:lncRNA
UCAUAUAAAAUAGGUGAGGAGCUGAGAGAGAGUUGCCCCUCCCCCACAGGGAAAACAACUGAACAUCUUUUCCUGCUGGAGCUCAUUCUCUCUCUCACAGCUCCAUCUGACUGGAGGAGCAGCAGUUCACAGCUGGACAUCAACUCAAGGCAAAGGUGUGAAAACAGGACACUCAUCCACAGUCAUCACCAGAUCUCGAAGCGCUUGUCUUUUCGGAAAGGCUCAAUAUCAGUAAUUCUGUUGUUGUGGAGUCUGAAGACACAACAAAGAUAUUCAAACUUUCAUUAAACAGCUGCUUUAUGCAGGUGUGGGAACAGCAGCUCUAGGCUGUGAUCAGUGAGCUGGCAGUGGCUGAGGUCCAGUUCAGACAGACCUUCAGAAAAUUCCAGAAACAAUGCUAGUGAUCUACAGGCAUUGAGGUCCAGAGGGGUCUCACUGAGGUCCAUCUCUUCAUCCAGCGCCUGGGAGAGGGACAUAGCAUGCCUCACACAGUCUGACUCAUUCACCACAUGAAGACGGGCCAGGAACCGGAGCAACAAAGGUUUACUACAGCUGAAUCCAAACCAGUGCUACAAGAGAAGUCCAGUCUGCUCUGCAGAGCAGAGAAAACUGCUGCUACUGCCCCCUGCUGGAUCUCAGAGAUACUGCAGCAGUGGAUCAACUUCAACAACAGGACCCUGUCAACACUGAGAGCAAGGAAAACAAGCAUUUUCUUUGUUACACUUAUGUAUUUUUUAAUUAGUGGUGCUUGAAAAGCACUACUAUUGUUCUUCGGCAUACUUAUUAUAAAUAUUAUUCUUCUUCUGCCACUUUUUUUUCGGCGCGUAACUAGUCCCGCACCGUUUGUCGGAGAUCGACGGGUGAGGUGUCAAAUCGAUCGGCUUAUUGAGUAGAGGUGUGCUAUGACUUUUGGUAGCGAUUGUAAUGUCGGCAUUUCCGGUACGGAAGCUCAAAGUCGGAAAAUUUCCCAUAGACUUGCAUUGAGUUUUGAAAGUAUUGGCACUCUAAAGAGAAAGCUCUAAAAGUUUUGCCUCCGUACACAUUCGGCUCUAAAAUGUAUUGGCACCUGAUCUGUUCGGCACUCAGAAGUAUUGGCACCCUAUCUGUCCGGCUCUCGAAAGUAUUGGCACCCUACGCGGGUCGGCUUUUGAAAGAAUUGGCGCCCCGUCCCAGUUUCGCCGCGUCAAGCACCACUCACAUUUUCUUCAGGAAAUGUACCGGUCUAGUUAUUACUGCAAUUUCUAUUACUCUAAAGUGGAUUGUGAACACUGAGUUACCUGAGCUGAGAAACUCUGUUGAACAGAGGGAGAAUCUUCACCAGCUCCCCCUCUGGUAUGGAGGUCCACAGCAGGCUCAGAGAGACAGAAGUACAGUGUUGGAGGGUGAAGCACAGGGCAGUACAGUGGUAAGAGUCCAGCUCUGUAUUGUUCAGGUUGAUACAGCUGUGUGUUGAACUCAACAGACUGGACACACAGUGAGCAGAGCCAGUCUCAUAGAUCUCUCUGAUGAUUGACAGCACAACACUGGGGUUCAAUCUGUAGAGGUUACAAUCACAUCCAUACAUAAAUUUAACGAUAAAUAUUAUUCUUCUGUUAAACCAAUACAGGAGAGGCAAUUCUUUUUAUUUAUUCCUUUUCUUUCCACAAGGUUUAUUAAUUAUUAAUAUUUAACGAUAUGAGCCUCUGAGUACUGAGUGUGGAUAUAUUAUUGUUCAACAUUGAAGAUAUGUCCAUUAAAUAAUGCAUUAAGAUAAUAGUGUAUCUGAUUAUCAUAAAUGUUUACGUGUGUCAUUAUUGGUGCAUUAAUAUGUGGUACAUUUCUAUUCCAGAAACCACACAUAUAGUAAAAGGUGUCUUUGGAAGCAAGAGUGCCUGAUCACAUGAUGUUGACUAAUAAAGAUGAUCAGACAGCCAUAAGAGUUGCUUCAUCUUGAAUCAGGCUCACAUUACUCAAACCGGUGUUCAUGUGGAUGUGACUUCAUCUAUUCUUUUACAUAGCUUUGAGUCUUUGGAACUUAACACAGACUCUGAAAGUGCAUUACCAAGCAAAAUUCACUAUACCUUAGUAUUACUGUUAUAAAAUUAUAAUUAGUUUCAGUUUCGGAAGGAUGUUAAUGAGUUAUGUACAGUAGGUAUCUAAUAUUGUUCAAUAGUACAUUAUUCAAAAGUAAGCAAAGAAACAUUUUAGAUGUAACCCACCUAAUAGUCUUAAAUUGCUACUCAACAUUUAAAGAUUAAGUAUGAAAGCAGAAAUUCUUUCAAAGGAGAUUACAUGUGUAUCUUCUUACCGUUUAAACUGAAUUUCAGACAGUAGAGGAAGAAUCUGUCUGGCAUGAUUAUAUGUGAUUUUGCUCUUUCUGAUGUUCGCACUAAUGCAGCAAACUCGCUGCUGGAGAAAAUAGAUAAGCUCCUCCCAACUGAGAGAACAGGAAGUCAGGUCUCCUCCCACCUUCUCCAGGAAAAAGCGGCAUGACACAUGAGGCUGAUGAGAGAGUGAGCCUCCAUCCUGCACUCAGUGAGAUUCACACAGUGAACAGUCCAGAUGUUCAGGAGAGAAGACAAACUGCUCAGAAAUGUGAAGAUCUCUUUCUUUGGGUUUAUGCUGUUAAGCCUCAGACAGAGCUCCUCAAUGACCAACGAGCCACCAGCUCUCACUGCUCCAAAUGCUCGGACCAUCCUCCCUACCACACGGUCACUCAGGCUGACAAGCGUUCACCAAACACAUUCAUUAAAGGGGAUUUCAUGGUCCAGCUCAAUUUCACUCAUGCAUACUAAAGCUUAAUGAAGUUAUAUAACCUGGUGUGAAAAUUAAGAAACUGAUUAAUAACAUACCAGAGUUUCUGUAGGUGUGUGAUGUGUCUGAAGAGAAGUCUGGCCCCUCGGAGAGAGAUGGCUCGGGGUUUCAGAGUGAGUUUGACUUUGGAGUCUGAGAGACGUAGCACUUUCCUCACAGCCCUGCACUCACGAGUGGUUAAAACCCAGUCUAUAAUGAAGAUGAAGUCCAAGGCAGCAAAGAAAGCUCUCACCAACUUUGUAUCUUCUGCGCAGUCAACAACUGCUUUACUUAAACGUGGAAUGAACUCUUCUUCACAUCUAAAACAGACAGGAUUAAUGUAAAACUAUAAAUAGGACAUCUUCUAACUUAUUGUUCUUAAAAUUCCAUAAAUAACAUGUUAGAGGUGAUGCAGUGCUGCUAUAAAGUUUGUGAACCUUUUACAUUUUCUGCAUUUCUGCAUAAAUUUGAUCUGAAAUGUGAUCAGAUCUUCAUCUCAGUCAGAAAACUCAGUGCACCCAAUUAAAUAAACAAUGCAAAAACAGAAUUUUUUAUAUUUAUUUAUUGAGCAAAAUUAUUAAACAUUACAUAUCUGUGUCG